ensembl:lncRNA
AUGCUGAAUCCAUGAUAUACAAAUCCAUUAUCUUCAUGGGGUUUUUUUGCACAGAUCUUAGUUCAUCAGUUGCGUGCUUUGGUUUAUUAUCACUGUAAUGUAGGAAGCUUAAACUAUGAUCUAUGGAUCCAUGAUCAUCAUGGUUUUUCUUGCACAGAUCAUAAUUUAUUGGAUAUGGACUUUGGUUUAUUAUCAUUGCAAUGUAGAUAGCUGAAUCCAUGAUCAUCAUGGGUUUUUUUUUGUUUGUUUUUUUUGCAGAGAUCUUAGUUUGUUAGUUGUGGUCUUUGGUUUAUUGUUAUUGUAAUGUCAGAUGCUGAAUUUAUGAUCUAUGGAUCCAUGAUCAUCUUGGGUUUUUUGCACAGGAAUUAGAUUAUUGGUUGUGGUUUUUGGUUUAUUGUCAUUGCAAUGUAGUAAGCUGAGCCUGUGAUCUAUGAAUUCAUGAUCAUCUUGUUAUUUUUUUUGCACAGAUCUUAGUUUAUUAGUUGUGGUCUUUGAUUUAUUGUAAUAUAGGAUGCUGAAUCCAUGAUCUAUGAAUCCAUCAUCAUCUUGAGGUUUUUUUUUUUGCACAAAUCUUAGUUCAUCAGUUGUGCGCUUUGGUUUAUUAUCACUGUAAUAUAGGAAGCUGAAUCUAUUAUCUAUGGAUCUGUGAUCAUCUGGUUUUUUUUUGUUCUGGUUGUUGUUUGUUUGGACAUCUUAGUUUACCGGUUGUGGUCUUGGAUUUAGUGUCUUUGUAAUGUAAGUAGCUGAAUCUAUGAUCUGUGGAUUCAUGAUCAUAUUGGUUUUUCUUGCACAGAUCAUAAUUUUUUGGACAUGGACUUUGGUUUAUUUUCAUUGCAGUGUAGAUAGCUGAAUCCAUGAUCAUCUUGUUUUUUGUUUUGUUUUGGGUGGUUUUUUUAUUUUUAUUUUUAUUUUUUUUCAGAUAUCUUAAUUUAUUACUUGUGGUCUUUGGUUUAUUGUCAUUGUAAUGUUGGAUGCUGAAUCUGUGAUCUAUGAAUUCAUGAUCAUCUUCUUAUAUUUUUAGCCCAGAUCUUAGUUUAUUGGUUGUGGUUUUUGGUUUAUUGUCACUACAAUGUAGGAAACGAAAUCUAUGAUCUAUGAAUUCAUGAUCAUCGUGCUAUUUUUUUUAGCACAGGGCUUAGUUUGUUAGUUGUUGUCCUUGGUUUAUUAUCAUUGCAAUGUGGAUAGCUGAAUCUGUGAUCUAUGAAUCCAUCAUCAUCUUGGUGUUUUGUUUUUUUUUGUUGUUGUUGUUUUUUUCUUCAGAGAUCUUAGUUUAUCAGUUGUGGUCUUUGGUUUAUUAUCACUGUAAUGUAGGAAGCUGAAUCUAUGAUCUAUAGAUCCAUGAUCAUCUUUUUUUUGUUUUUUUUUUUUUUUUUUUCACAUGUAUUAGUUCUUUGGUUGUGGCUUUUGGUUUAUUGUCACUGCAGUGUAGGAAGCUGAAUCCAUAAUCUAUGAAUUCAUGAUCAUCGUGCUAUUUUUCUAGCAAAGGCCUUUAUUAGUUGUGGUCUUUUGAUUAUUGUCAUUGUAAUGUAGGAUGCUGAGUCUACAAUCUAUGGAUACAUAAUCAUCUUGGGUUUUUUUAGCAGAGAUCUUAGUUUAUUAGUUCUGGUCUUUGGUUUAUUGUCAUUGCAAUGUAGAUAGCUGAAUCCAUGAUCAUCUUGUUAUUUUUUUAGCACACAUCUUAGUUUAUUUGUUGCGGUCUUUGGUUUAUUAUUGUUGCUAUGUAGGUAGCUGGAGUUAUGAUCUAUGAAUUUAUGAUCAUCUUGUUAUGUUUUUAGCACUGAUCUUAGUUUAUUGGUUGUGGUCUUUGUGUCAUUGCAAUGUAGAUCGCUGAAUUUAUGAUCUAUGAAUCAUAAUCAUCCAUGAGCAUCUUGGGUUUUUUUUAGCACAGAUCGUAGUGUAUUGGUUGUGGUCUGUGGGUUAUUGUAAUGUAGGUAGGUGAAUCCACUAUCUAUGAAUCCAUGAUCAUCUUGAGUUUUUUGUUAUUCUUGUUUUUUUUUUCCUUUUUUUGCACUGAUCUUAGUUCAUAGGCUGUGGUUUUUGAUUUACUGUCAUUGCAAUGUAG